GCUUACGGUCACACUACCCUGAGAACGCCCGAUCUCGUCUGAUCUCGAAGCUAAGCAGGUUUGGCCUGGUUAGUACUUGGAUGGGAGACCACCUGGAAUACCAGGUGCUGUAAGCU
ensembl:rRNA 5S_rRNA 5S ribosomal RNA